GAUAUUGGACAAUGGGGGCAACCCUGAUCCAGCCAUGCUGCCUGUGUGAAGAAGGUCUCCUGAUUGUAAAGCACUCUAUGUUGGGAGGAAGGGCCUUACGCUGAUACCCUGUAGUGUUGACGUUACUAACAGAAUAAUCACCGACUAACUAUGUUCCAGCAGCCGCGGUAAUAAAGCGGGAGCAAGCGUUAAUCGGAAUUACUGGGCGUAAAGCGCGGGUAGGGGGUUAAGUAAGGUCAGUGUGAAAUCCCCGGGCUUAACCUGGGAACUGCUUUCGAAACUGGUGAGCUAGAGUACGGUAGAGGGUAGUGGAAUUUCCGGUGUAGCGGUGAAAUGCGUAGAUAUCGGGAGGAACACCGAUGGCGAAGGCGGCUACCUGGACUGAUACUGACACUGAGGUGCGAAAGCGUGGGGAGCAAAC
rnacentral:rRNA from 1 species